CUCUGGUCUUGAUUGGUGCUUGCAUCAUGAUUUCCUUUUGAGUGAGAGGAAAACCUUCCCAGAAGCGGGGGAUAACACCUGCGAAACAGAUGCUAAUACCGCAUAACAACUUGGACCGCAUGGUCCGAGCUUGAAAGAUGGCUUCGGCUAUCACUUUUGGAUGGUCCCGCGGCGUAUUAGCUAGAUGGUGGGGUAACGGCUCACCAUGGCAAUGAUACGUAGCCGACCUGAGAGGGUAAUCGGCCACUUGGGACUGAGACACGGCCCAAACUCCUACGGGAGGCAGCAGUAGGGAAUCUUCCACAAUGGACGAAAGUCUGAUGGAGCAACGCCGCGUGAGUGAAGAAGGGUUUCGGCUCGUAAAACUCUGUUGUUAAAGAAGAACAUAUCUGAGAGUAACUGUUCAGGUAUUGACGGUAUUUAACCAGAAAAGCCACGGCUAACUACGUGCCAGCAGCCGCGGUAAUACGUAGGUGGCAAGCGUUGUCCGGAUUUAUUGGGGCGGAAGCGAGCGCAGGCGGUUUUUUAAGUCUGAUGUGAAAGCUUCGGCUCAACCGAAGAAGUGCAUCAAAACUGGAAACUUGAGUGGGGGGGGAGGGGGAACCCCAUGGUAACCGCUGCCUAUCUUAUGCUGGCAACUGAUAAUAAGGGUUGCGCUCGUUGCGGGACUUAACCCAACAUCUCACGACACGAGCUGACGACAACCAUGCACCACCUGUAUCCAUGUCCCCGAAGGGAACGUCUAAUCUCUUAGAUUUGCAUAGUAUGUCAAGACCUGGUAAGGUUCUUCGCGUAGCUUCGAAUAAACCACAUGCUCCACCGCUUGUGCGGGCCCCCGUCAAUUCCUUUGAGUUUCAGCCUUGCGGCCGUACUCCCCAGGCGGAAUGCUUAAUGCGUUAGCUGCAGCACUGAAGGGCGGAAACCCUCCAACACUUAGCAUUCAUCGUUUGCACAAGCGGUGGAGCAUGUGGUUUAAUUCGAAGCUACGCGAAGAACCUUACCAGGUGCUGACAUACUAUGCAAAUCUAAGAGAUUAGACGUUCCCUUCGGGGACAUGGAUACAGGUGGUGCAUGGUUGUCGUCAGCUCGUGUCGUGAGAUGUUGGGUUAAGUCCCGCAACGAGCGCAACCCUUAUUAUCAGUUGCCAGCAUUAAGUUGGGCACUCUGGUGAGACUGCCGGUGACAAACCGGAGGAAGGUGGGGAUGACGUCAAAUCAUCAUGCCCCUUAAGACCUGGGCUACACACAUGCUACAAUGGAUGGUACAACCAGUUUGCGAACUCGCGAGAGAACGCCAAUUCUCCUAAAGCCAUUCCA
rnacentral:rRNA from 1 species